UAUGUACAAGUUUCGCAUAAUUAUCUAGCACAUAAUGCCUUAAGUUGACCGAAUCAUUAACUAGAUGCAACACAACUUAAGCGUUGGUAAAUAUGUAAAUAUCAAGUAAACUAGAAAAUAUGAUAUCUAUAUACGGUUUAACUAUACUUGCAUUUUGUACAUCCAAGAAGGGAAGUUACGAAGCGAGAAGCUUGACGGGAAUUUGUCUUUUUCUUCUUUGGGUAUCGUCUUUCGAAAGCAACUCUGUAUGAUAGUACCUCGCAAGACAAAAUAAGGGAAAUUAUUAGGAAAACAUAAAGUAAACAAUAAACUAAUUUAUUUUGUAAUGAUUUUAUUUGAAAAUGUUUUUGGAAGAUUGUUUUUGAUAAUAGUUUGAAAAUGUUUUUGGGAAAUUAUUUUUUUGGAAAAUAAUUUUGGGAAAUAGUUUAAAAAUAAUAUAUGAGGCUCAAAUUAUGAUUUCAAUUUCCAUCUAGACAUGAGAACGGGAACCUCCUUGGUUGCGACUACGAUAGCUAAUCGUGUCGCCUUCCGAAGGGCUAUUGGUUCAUCACAUUCUCAUCUUUUCCCUUUCCGAUGUUUAUCGUCAUCGCCUCGUACUUUCGGGCCCAAUCCGAGGGUGAUUAUUCUCAAAAUAUUAUUCUCAUCGACCUUGUCAAGUGUAGUAUCGUUCAAAGCAUCAGCCAUCCCAAACAGUCAAACAAACCAGCAAAGUGGCAUUUGUAACACUGUCCAAACGCCACUGUCCAAACCAAUAUUGUGAAUUAACCAAACUACCGAGAACAUAAAAUAGGUCCAAACGAUGAAAUCCAAUUCCCACGCCACAAAGAGCAGCCAGAACUUCAAAAUGUCAGCCAACAAAGCAAUGUAAAAUAACAUCCAAAACAUAGAAAUAAGGAAAUGAACAGUCGAUACAAAGCCAAAUAAAUAGCAGAACGGACGAAGGCCAACAGAAACAACCAAAACUCCCAGUAGCCAAAAAAUAUGGGCCUGCCGAAAAAUACUCCGGCCAGAUCUCACUAAGUCACAAACAAAGAUUCUCGACCAGAUUUAUAGAUCUGGCUUUAUUAACACUGAGCACGUAACACAUAAAAGGGGGAUAAAGUCGUCGAAAAACAUAAGGCACAAAAAAUGGCUAAACAGUCCACACCCCAUAAAAGAAACAAGAUUCCCACCAUAUCAAAUGGCAACAGCAAAAUCGUUGGCGUUACUUUGACGGCGAACACCGAAAUAACACCUAACCCCAAAAAUACGCUGCCGACAUCAACAUUUUCGGCCAAAACCAAUAGAUCUUGUCAAGGUUUGGAAGAAGAAGGUAGAAACGAGAAUGAAGAGAGAACCAAUGGGGAGGUGGUCAUUGGUCGCCGAAGCUUUGGAUUUUCUGACCAGAUCUGCACUUUCUCCGUUGCUCGCCGUUCAUGGCUGUUGGACAGAAGGGUGGCCAGUGUUAUGAUUUCUGGCCAGAUUUGUGUUCUUUCGCCGCAACAGUAAGAGAGAAAGGGAGAGACAGUGGUGGAGGUGGCCAUGCUUGGCCCAAAAUGGAGCUAAGGGAGAGAGGCCGCCUCCUAUAUCAUGAGAGAGAGAGACGAGAGAAGACCCCUUUGGAGGAAGUGCGGUUGUGAGUUGAGAAAUGAGGGGGAGG
rnacentral:lncRNA from 1 species